rnacentral:rRNA from 1 species
GGUUCGAUUCUGGCUCAGAUUGAACGCUGGCGGGAUGCUUUACACAUGCAAGUCGAACGGCAGCACGGACUUCAGUCUGGUGGCGAGUGGCGAACGGGUGAGUACGUAUCGGAACGUGCUCUAGUGGGGGAUAACAUGAAAGCGGUAGCUGACGACGCAGCAGACACCCUUCGGGGGAAAGCGGGGGACCUUCGGGCCUCGCACUAUUAGAGCGGCCGAUAUCGGAUUAGCUAGUUGGUGGGGUAACGGCUCACCAAGGCGACGAUCCGUAGUUGGUUUGAGAGAAGAUCAAUUGUGUUUUCACACUGGGACUGAGACACGGCCCAGACUCCUACGGGAGGCAGGGGGAAUUUUGACAAUGGGGGAACCCCGAUCCGCCAUCCCGGGCGGUGUGCGAUGAAGGCCUUCGGGUUGUAAAGCACUUUUGGCAGGGAAAGAAACGGCACGGGAUAAUACCCCGUGCAACUGACGGUACCUGCAGAAGCACCACAAUUCACAGCCAGCAGCCGCGGUAAUACGCAGGGUGCAAGCGUUAACUGAAUUAGCCAUAAAAGGCAGCAGGUUAUCUGGAAAGAAAGAUGUGAAAUCCUGAGUGGACCUUGGAACUGCAUUUUUACCUACCGAGCUGGAGUGUGUCAGAGGGAGGUGGAAUUCCGCGUGUAGGCAGAAAUGCGUAGAUAUGCGGAGGAACACCGAUGGCGAAGGCAGCCUCUCCUGGGAUAACACUGACGCUCAUGCACGAAAGCGUGGGGAGCAAACAGGAUUAUUCCUGGUAACUACUGCCCUAAACGAUGUCAACUAGCCGUUGGGGCCUUCGGGCCUUCGGUAGCGCAGCUAACGCGUGAAGUUGACCGCCUGGGGAGAUGGUCGCAAGAUUAAAACUCAAAGGAAUUGACGGGGACCCGCACAGGCGGUGGAUGAUGUGGAUUAAUUCGAUGCAACGCGAAAAACCUUACCUACCCUUGACAUGUCUGGAAUCCCGAAGAGAUUUGGGAGUGCUCGCAAGAGAACCGGAACACAGUGCUGCAUGGCUGUCGUCAGCUCGUGUCGUGAGAUGUUGGGUUAAGUCCCGCAACGCCAGCAACCCUUGUCAUUAGUUAAGCAUGAAAGGCACUCUAAUGAGACUGCCGGUGACAAACCGGAGGAAGGUGGGGAUGACGUCAAGUCCUCAUGGCUCCCGCGGUAGGGCUUCACACGUCAUACAAUGGUCGGGACAGAGGGUCGCCAACCCGCGAGGGGAGCCAAUCCCAGAAACCCGAUCGUAGUUCGGAUCGCAGUCUGCAACUCGACUGCGUGAAGUCGGAAUCGCUAGUAAUCGCGGAUCAGCAUGUCGCGGUAAUACGUUCCCGGGUCUUGUACACACCGCCCGUCACACCAUGGGAGUGGGUUUUACCAGAAGUAGUUAGCCUAACCGCAAGGAGGGCGAUUACCACGGUAGGAUUCAUGACUGGGUGAAGUCGUAACAAGGUAA